AAAUACUCAGUUUAUAUAGACUUGUUGGUCGAUUGGGAUCAGAUUGCUCAGUUUAAUAACAUAGCGGUCGUUUGAAAUAGGUUGAGGUUAAGUUUAAUUUUAAUUUGCUCAGUUUAACGACAUGGAGGUUAAAAGGAGUUUAAUUUUAAUUUGCUAAGUUUAGCGACAUGGCAGUCAAAAGAGUUUGAAGUUGAUUUGCUCAGUUUAACGACUUGGCUGUCAAAUUUUCAGUUUAAUGAAUUAACAGUCAUUUGUUUAGUUUAACGACUUGACGGUCAUAUCUGAACUUGAUUUGCUCAGUUUAGCGACUUGGCGGUUGAUUGAAGUUGAGAUACUUAGUUUAGCGACAUGGCGGUCGGUUUGAGUUGUGGUGCUCAGUUUAAUGACAUGGUGGUCGAUUAAAAUUGAGAUGCUCAGUUUAGCGACAUGGGGGUCGGUUUGAGUUGUGGUGCUCAGUUUAAUGACAUGGCGGUCGGCUUGGAUUUUGGUGUUCAGUUUAUCGACAUGGCGGUCGGUUUAAGCAUUGGUGCUCAGUUUGUCGACAAGGCGGUAGGAUUGUGUUUGAGGUGCUCAGUUCAAUGACAUGGCGGUCGGUUUGAAUUGUGGUG
rnacentral:lncRNA from 1 species